GAUGAACGCUGGCGGCGUGCCUAAUACAUGCAAGUCGAGCGAACAGACGAUGAGCUUGCUCCUCUGACGUUACCGGCGGACGGGUGAGUAACACGUGGAUAACCUACCUCUACGACUUGGAUAACUUCGAGAAACCGUAGCUAAUACCGGAUAAUAUAUUGAACCGCAUGGGUCGAUAGUGAAAGACGGUUUUGCUGUCACUUAUAGCUUGAUCCGCGCCGCAUUGGCUAGUUGGUAAGGUAACGGCUUACCAAGGCAACGAUUGGUAGCCGACGUGAGAGGGUGGUCGGCCACCUUGGAGGGUAGACAGGGUCCAUGGGCCUGCGGGAGGGAGCAGUAGGGAAUCGUACGCAAUGGGGGAAAGCCUGACGGAGUGACGCCGAGUGAGUGAUGAAGGUCUUGGGAUCGUAAAACUGUGUUAUUAGGGAAGAACAAAUGUGGAAGUAACUAUGCACGUCUUGACGGUACCUAAUCAGAAAGCCCCGGCUAACUACGUG
rnacentral:rRNA from 1 species